rnacentral:rRNA from 1 species
UACGAAGGGGGCUAGCGUUGCUCGGAAUCACUGGGCGUAAAGCGCACGUAGGCGGGUCUUAAGUCAGGGGUGAAAUCCCGGAGCUCAACUCCGGAACUGCCUUUGAUACUGGAGAUCUUGAGUCCGGGAGAGGUGAGUGGAACUCCGAGUGUAGAGGUGAAAUUCGUAGAUAUUCGGAAGAACACCAGUGGCGAAGGCGGCUCACUGGCCCGGUACUGACGCUGAGGUGCGAAAGCG